AGCAGCAUGGCUCAGUGGAAAGAGCCCGGCCUUGGGAGCCAGAGGUCAUGGGUUCAAAUCCUGACUCUGCCA
rnacentral:tRNA from 1 species